rnacentral:lncRNA from 1 species
CAGAAAUGAGGAUUUUUUUUUUAGGCGUCCAGGGUUGCUGUCUGGUGGCAAGGUCUUUUUUGGGACGGCUCUGUGGGCUGGGAUGGCCUCACCCCGCCGCUCUGCCCACUCCUGCCCCGGCGUGGCCUGCCGCCUGGCAGGGCUCUGCGGGCCGCGAGGGCCUCUAGUGCCCCGGCCCUGGCCUCGGCCCAGUUUCCCCAGCUACUAAAUGCGGCCCGGAGCUACCGGGGGAACUGGAAAAACACUGGCAGGCGGCCCCACCCCCAGG